rnacentral:rRNA from 1 species
AUGGCGGCGGAAACAAGUACUCAGGGAAGGCAGGGGAAGGAGACGACGGAGGAACUUCUUGCAAGACUGAAUCUGCAUGAGGAGGAGGAUGAUGCUUUUGUGUGGGAAGAGGAACUGCCGGAUCUGGAAGAGCCGGCGAAGUGGCUGGCUAUUGCCAGAGUUCAUACUACAAGAUCUUUCAGCCCUAAUGCUCUAUAUGGGGACAUGCGUGCUGCGUGGAACCCGGCGAAAUUGGUUGUUUGGAGGAAGCUAAAGGAAAACUUAUUUACGGCCCAGUUUGGAUGUUUGGGGGAUUGG